rnacentral:rRNA from 1 species
UUAAGUGACUAAGCGUACACGGUGGAUGCCUUGGCAGUCAGAGGCGAUGAAAGACGUAGUAACUUGCGAUAAGCCCAGAUUAGGUAGUAACAACCAUUUGAGUCUGGGAUUUCUGAAUGGGGAAACCCACGUGCAUAAGCACGUAUCCUUACCUGAAUACAUAGGGUAAGGAGGCGAACCGGGGGAACUGAAACAUCUAAGUACCCCGAGGAAAAGAAAUCAACCGAGAUUCCGAAAGUAGCGGCGAGCGAAAUUGGACUAGCCCUUAAGCUUUACACGCGUUAGACGAACGGUCUGGAAAGUCCGACGAUACAGGGUGAUAGUCCCGUAGUUGACGACGUGUGUUCAGUGAAAUCGAGUAGGGCGGGACACGUGAUAUCCUGUCUGAAUAUGGGGGGACCAUCCUCCAAGGCUAAAUACUACUGACUGACCGAUAGUGAACCAGUACCGUGAGGGAAAGGCGAAAAGAACCCCUGUGAGGGGAGUGAAAUAGAACCUGAAACCGUGUACGUACAAGCAGUAGGAGCAGGCUUUGUCCUGUGACUGCGUACCUUUUGUAUAAUGGGUCAGCGACUUAUAUUCAGUGGCAAGGUUAACCAUCUAGGGGAGCCGUAGGGAAACCGAGUCUUAACUGGGCGUUCAGUCUCUGGAUAUAGACCCGAAACCAGGUGAUCUAGCCAUGGGCAGGUUGAAGGUUGAGUAACAUCAACUGGAGGACCGAACCGACUAAUGUUGAAAAAUUAGCGGAUGACUUGUGGCUAGGGGUGAAAGGCCAAUCAAACCUGGAGAUAGCUGGUUCUCCCCGAAAGCUAUUUAGGUAGCGCCUCGGACGAAUACUACUGGGGGUAGAGCACUGUUAAGGCUAGGGGGUCAUCCCGACUUACCAACCCUUUGCAAACUCCGAAUACCAGUAAGUACUAUCCGGGAGACACACGGCGGGUGCUAACGUCCGUCGUGGAGAGGGAAACAACCCAGACCGCCAGCUAAGGUCCCAAAUUACUACUAAGUGGGAAACGAUGUGGGAAGGCUCAGACAGCCAGGAUGUUGGCUUAGAAGCAGCCAUCAUUUAAAGAAAGCGUAAUAGCUCACUGGUCGAGUCGGCCUGCGCGGAAGAUGUAACGGGGCUAAGUAGUAAACCGAAGCUGCGGCAAUGUGCUUUUGCACAUUGGGUAGGGGAGCGUUCUGUAAGCGGUUGAAGGUGUGUGGUAACGCAUGCUGGACGUAUCAGAAGUGCGAAUGCUGACAUGAGUAACGAUAAAGGGGGUGAAAAACCUCCUCGCCGGAAGACCAAGGGUUCCUGUCCAACGUUAAUCGGGGCAGGGUAAGUCGACCCCUAAGGCGAGCCGAAAGGCGUAGUCGAUGGGAAACGGGUUAAUAUUCCCGUACUUCUUACAAUUGCGAGGGGGGACGGAGAAGGCUAGGUGGGCCUGGCGACGGUUGUCCAGGUUCAAGUGCGUAGGCUUAAGAGUUAGGUAAAUCCGGCUCUUUUUAAGGCUGAGACACGACGUCGAGCAUCUACGGAUGUGAAGUCAUUGAUGCCAUGCUUCCAGGAAAAGCCUCUAAGCUUCAGAUUGUAAGGAAUCGUACCCCAAACCGACACAGGUGGUCGGGUAGAGAAUACCAAGGCGCUUGAGAGAACUCGGGUGAAGGAACUAGGCAAAAUGGUACCGUAACUUCGGGAGAAGGUACGCUCUCGACGGUGAAGUCCCUCGCGGAUGGAGCUAUUGAGAGUCGCAGAUACCAGGUGGCUGCAACUGUUUAUUAAAAACACAGCACUGUGCAAAAUCGUAAGAUGACGUAUACGGUGUGACGCCUGCCCGGUGCCGGAAGGUUAAUUGAUGGGGUUAGACUUCGGUCGAAGCUCUUGAUCGAAGCCCCGGUAAACGGCGGCCGUAACUAUAACGGUCCUAAGGUAGCGAAAUUCCUUGUCGGGUAAGUUCCGACCUGGCACGAAUGGCGUAAUGAUGGCCACGCUGUCUCCACCCGAGACUCAGUGAAAUUGAAAUCGCUGUGAAGAUGCAGUGUACCCGCGGCUAGACGGAAAGACCCCGUGAACCUUUACUACAGCUUGGCACUGAACAUUGACCCUACAUGUGUAGGAUAGGUGGGAGGCUUUGAAGCACGUACGCCAGUAUGUGUGGAGCCGUCCUUGAAAUACCACCCUUGUAGUGUUGAUGUUCUAACGUCGACCCCUUAUCGGGGUUGCGGACAGUGCCUGGUGGGUAGUUUUGACUGGGGCGGUCUCCUCCCAAAGAGUAACGGAGGAGCACGAAGGUGGGCUAAUCACGGGUUGGACAUCGUGAGUUAGUGCAAUGGCAUAAGCCCGCUUGACUGCGAGAAUGACAAUUCGAGCAGGUGCGAAAGCAGGUCAUAGUGAUCCGGUGGUUCUGAAUGGAAGGGCCAUCGCUCAACGGAUAAAAGGUACUCGGGGAUAACAGGCUGAUACCGCCCAAGAGUUCAUAUCGACGGCUGGUGUUUGGCACCUCGAUGUCGGCUCAUCACAUCCUGGGGCUGAAGUCGGUCCCAAGGGUAUGGCUGUUCGCCAUUUAAAGUGGUACGCGAGCUGGGUUUGAGAACGUCGUGAGACAGUUCGGUGCCUAUCUGCCGUGGGCGUGGAAGAUUGAAGGGGGGCUGCUCCUAGUACGAGGACCGGAGUGGACGAACCUCUGGUGUUCGGUUGUGUCGCCAGACGCAUUGCCCGGUAGCUAAGUUCGGAAUCGAUAACCGCUGAAAGCAAUCUAAAGCGGGAAGCGAGCCUGAGAUGAGUCUUCCCUGAUACUGUAUCCUAAGGGUUGUCGAGACUACGACGUUGAAUAGGUCAGGUGUGUAUGCUGUGAGGCAAUUGAGCUAAACUGAUACUAAUGCCCGUGAUCUUAAACCA